AAAGAUUUAGUUAAAAAAUAACAUUAGCUUGUCAAACUAAAAUUAAUUAAAAAUUAUUAAUCUUUA
rnacentral:tRNA from 1 species